rnacentral:lncRNA from 1 species
AUUGUGCCACCCCCACCUCCCCAAGACCCUCAGGACUUUUGGCGCGGUACUUCUCCUGUCUGCCUAUCCAGGCCGCAGGGCCCGCGUGCCCUUGGGGAAGGGGCGUGUGUGCCGUUGGGAUCCGGCCUGUGCGCCGCAAGCAACGGGCUUUGCGCCCUUGCCUUAUGGACAAUGGACGGCAUACGUGCCCUUAUGAUACG